rnacentral:rRNA from 1 species
AGGAUGAACGCUGGCGGCGUGCUUAACACAUGCAAGUCGAACGGUGAAGUGAGGAGCUUGCUCCUUGCGGAUCAGUGGCGAACGGGUGAGUAACACGUGAGUAACCUGCCCUUGACUCUGGGAUAAGCGUUGGAAACGACGUCUAAUACCGGAUACGACCUCCGAAGGCAUCUUGUGGAGGUGGAAAGAAUUUCGGCCAAGGAUGGACUCGCGGCCUAUCAGCUAGUUGGUGAGGUAAUGGCCCACCAAGGCGACGACGGGUAGCCGGCCCUGAGAGGGUGACCGGCCACACUGGGACUGAGACACGGCCCAGACUCCUACGGGGGGCUGCAGUAACGAAUCUUCCGCAAUGCACGCAAGUGUGACGGAGCGACGCCGCGUGUGGGACGAAGCCCCUCGGGGUGUAAACCACUGUCAGGGGAUAGAAAGUUCUGAUCAUCCCCAGAGGAAGGCACGGCUAACUCUGUGCCAGCAGCCGC